rnacentral:rRNA from 1 species
AUGAACGCUGGCGGCGUGCCUCAUACAUGCAAGUCGAGCGAACGGACGAGAAGCUUGCUUCUCUGAUGUUAGCGGCGGACGGGUGAGUAACACGUGGAUAACCUACCUAUAAGACUGGGAUAACUUCGGGAAACCGUAGCUAAUACCGGAUAAUAUUUUGAACCGCAUGGUUCAAAAGUGAAAGACGGUCUUGCUGUCACUUAUAGAUGGAUCCGCGCUGCAUUAGCUAGUUGGUAAGGUAACGGCUUACCAAGGCAACGACGCAUAGCCGACCUGAGAGGGUGAUCGGCCACACUGGAACUGAGACACGGUCCAGACUCCUACGGGAGGCAGCAGUAGGGAAUCUUCCGCAAUGGGCGAAAGCCUGACGGAGCAACGCCGCGUGAGUGAUGAAGGUCUUCGGAUCGUAAAACUCUGUUAUUAGGGAAGAACAUAUGUGUAAGUAACUGUGCACAUCUUGACGGUACCUAAUCAGAAAGCCACGGCUAACUACGUG